AUUGAACGCUGGCGGCAUGCCUUACACAUGCAAGUCGAAUGGCAGCACGGGUGCUUGCACCUGGUGGCGAGUGGCGAACGGGUGAGUAAUACAUCGGAACGUACCUUAUCGUGGGGGAUAACGCAGCGAAAGCUGUGCUAAUACCGCAUACGCCCUGAGGGGGAAAGCGGGGGAUCGCAAGACCUCGCGCGAUUAGAGCGGCCGAUGCCUGAUUAGCUUGUUGGUGGGGUAAAAGCCCACCAAGGCGACGAUCAGUAGCUGGUCUGAGAGGACGAUCAGCCACACUGGGACUGAGACACGGCCCAGACUCCUACGGGAGGCAGCAGUGGGGAAUUUUGGACAAUGGGGGCAACCCUGAUCCAGCAAUGCCGCGUGAGUGAAGAAGGCCUUCGGGUUGUAAAGCUCUUUUGUCAGGGAAGAAACGCCGGCUCUAACACAGUCUGGGAAUGACGGUACCUGAAGAAUAAGCACCGGCUAACUACGUGCCAGCCGCCGCCGUAA
rnacentral:rRNA from 1 species